UACAGAGGGUGCGAGCGUUAAUCGGAAUUACUGGGCGUAAAGCGUGCGUAGACGGUAGCGUAAGUCAGAUGUGAAAGCCCCCGGGCUCAACCUGGGAAUUGCAUUUGAGACUGCUCUGCUCGGGUGUGGAAGAGGGAAGCGGAAUUUCCGGUGUAGCGGUGAAAUGCGUAGAUAUCGGAAGGAACACCAGUGGCGAAAGCGGCUUCCUGGUCCGACACCGACGUUCAGGCACGAAAGCGUGGGGAGCAAACAGG
rnacentral:rRNA from 1 species